CCCCUAUCAGGAUCACACCUGGAGAGUUUCCAGUACUCUACCAGUUUCGGCUACUGGAGGGAGAAUCAAGCAGAGGCAUACCCAUUCCAUUCCUAGUUUGAGCAGUGGCUAGUGAUUGGAAGGCAACCUGCUACAAGU